AGUCGAGGGGUAACAGGGAUUGCUUGCAAUCCGCUGACGACCGGCGCACGGGUGCGUAACGCGUAUACAAUCUACCUUUUACAGGGGGAUAGCCCAGAGAAAUUUGGAUUAAUACCCCAUGGUAUGGUAAUGUGGCAUCACAUAACCAUUAAAACUUCGGUGGUAGGAGAUGAGUAUGCGUCCUAUUAGCUAGAUGGUGUGGUAACGGCACACCAUGGCAACGAUAGGUAGGGGCCCUGAGAGGGGGAUCCCCCACACUGGUACUGAGACACGGACCAGACUCCUACGGGAGGCAGCAGUGAGGAAUAUUGGACAAUGGGCGCAAGCCUGAUCCAGCCAUGCCGCGUGCAGGAAGACUGCCCUAUGGGUUGUAAACUGCUUUUAUACGGGAAGAAACCUUGCCACGUGUGGCGAGCUGACGGUACCGUAAGAAUAAGGAUCGGCUAACUCCGUGCCAGCAGCCGCGGUAAUACGGAGGAUCCAAGCGUUAUCCGGAAUCAUUGGGUUUAAAGGGUCCGUAGGUGGAUAAUUAAGUCAGGGGUGAAAGUCUGCGGCUCAACCGUAGAAUUGCCUUUGAUACUGGUUAUCUUGAGUCAUUAUGAAGUGGUUAGAAUGUGUAGUGUAGCGGUGAAAUGCAUAGAUAUUACACAGAAUACCGAUUGCGAAGGCAGAUCACUAAUAAUGUACUGACACUGAUGGACGAAAGCGUGGGGAGCGAACAGGAUUAGAUACCCUGGUAGUCCACGCCGUAAACGAUGGUCACUAGCUGUUCGGACUUCGGUCUGAGUGGCUAAGCGAAAGUGAUAAGUGACCCACCUGGGGAGUACGUUCGCAAGAAUGAAACUCAAAGGAAUUGACGGGGGCCCGCACAAGCGGUGGAGCAUGUGG
rnacentral:rRNA from 1 species